AACGAACGCUGGCGGCAGGCUUAACACAUGCAAGUCGAGCGCAUCCUGCGGGGUGAGCGGCAGACGGGUGAGUAACGCGUGGGAACGUACCCUUGCCUACGGAAUAGCUCCGGGAAACUGGAAUUAAUACCGUAUACGACCUUAGGGGGAAGGAGUUAUCGGGGAAGGAUCGGCCCGCGUUGGAUUAGCUUGUUGGUGGGGGAAAGGCCGACCAAGGCGACGAUCCAUAGCUGGUCUGAGAGGAUGAUCAGCCACAUUGGGACUGAGACACGGCCCAAACUCCUACGGGAGGCAGCAGUGGGGAAUAUUGGACAAUAGGCGAAAGCCUGAUCCAGCCAUGCCGCGUGAGUGAUGAAGGCCUUAGGGUUGUAAAGCUCUUUCAGUAGGGAAGAUAAUGACGGUACCUGCAGAAGAAGCCCCGGCUAACUUCGUGCCAGCCGCCGCGGUAA
rnacentral:rRNA from 1 species